UCUCUAGGGGGAACAUAACAUAUAGAAAUGGUGGAGCAGAGUUGCACUUGUUCUCUAAAAUGUAUAUGAUCAUCAAGAUAUUAGCACAUCUGAUCUUUGUGGGCAUCAGGCAUCAUUCAAGUUCUUCUGCCUGCUAGAGUGUGUAAGAUUGAAACACAAAAUGAACUAUAUCCUAUUCAUCGAUGUCAUAUCAAAUUUAAUCUUGAUAUGAAAAACUCACAGAAAC